UAUGCUUGGCCAUAAACAUUGAUGAUUCUAUACUAUUUCAUCCGCCCGGGUACUACGAGCAUCAGCUUAAAACCCAAAGGACUUGGCGGUGCUUUAGAUCCACCUAGAGGAGCCUGUUCUAGAACCGAUAAUCCCCGUUAAACCUCACCUUUCCUUGUCUAGUCCGCCUAUAUACCGCCGUCGUCAGCUUACCCUAUGAGGGAUAUGAAGUAAGCACAACCGGUUCAACCUAAAACGCCAGGUCGAGGUGUAGCGCAUGGAGGGGGAAGAAAUGGGCUACAUUCGAUAGCCAUAUUGAAUACGAAUGACAUCCUGAAAAAAUGUCCGAAGGAGGAUUUAGCAGUAAACAGAGAAUAGAGUGCUCUAUUGAAACUGGCCCUGAAGCGCGUA
rnacentral:rRNA from 1 species